UUGCAUUAUAUUUAGCGAAGACAAGGUCAAAUAGUUUAGGUACCAUUUUACAUGAGACAAAGCUUAAAAGUCGAAACAAAAGAGACAUUCGUUCAGAUUAUCCGUCUGUUCACCAUUAUGCCAGACAUGCACUGUGUCGAACAUUCAAGGGUAAACAAUAUUUAUACAAAGCAAUGAAGAAAAAGCUAUGUGGAAUGACAUUGUCCUUCAUAGCAAGUUUGGUGAUUGAUCUUUGUCGUCAUAGAAACGCGAUGCUAGAUACCUGGGUAGCCGGACUGUUUGAUGUUGAUGGUGACGGGCAGAUAAGUCAUUUUGAGCGAAAUUUGUAUGAAGAUACUUACAGCUGAAUUGGAAAGUGAAACCGCAAAUUCAUUAGGAUGUCUUGUGCAGUAGUGAAAAUCGCAAAGUCCUAGGAUAUAAGCCAGAUGCCAUUGAUCGUAUUUUACGCAAAGGGAAAUGUUUCUGAAUGCAGUAAUUCAAACCAAGUUUCCUAAGAUUAACGGCAUCGACAGCAUUAUUUGCAUAACAUUCUUAAUGUUGUUAUGCAUUCUUAAUGUUAUUAAGAAAUUUCUCUUUUGUAUGAUAUACGUUUUGAAUAACUCAUUAUCGUACUAAAUGUUCAUUACAAUGAUAUUUGAAAGAUUCAUUUGAAAUGUUAUGGUGCAAUCUAUGAUUGUGAUAUAAAAAGCAAUAGUCAUUUCAUCAUUUUAUUUAUUUCAUGAAAAAUCAUUUUUAUUUAUUUGUAAAUAUUGAUAUGUCAGUUGUUUGACAUGACAGUUCAUCAUUGUAUAACUAUAAAUCUACCUCUGUGAUGCAGUAUUAUAUUAUAAUGAUUUAC